UAACGGCGAGUGAAGCGGCACAAGCUCAAAUUUGAAAUCUAGCUCCCUCGGAGUUCGAAUUGUAAUUUGUAGAAGAUGUUUCGGGUGUGGUCCCAGUCUAAGUUCCCUGGAACUGGACAUCACAGAGGGUGAGAAUCCCGUAUGUGACUGGGUGCCUACGCCCAUGUGAAACUCUUUCGACGAGUCGAGUUGUUUGGGAAUGCAGCUCAAAAUGGGUGGUAAAUUUCAUCUAAAGCUAAAUAUUGGCCAGAGACCGAUAGCGCACAAGUAGAGUGAUCGAAAGAUGAAAAGCACUUUGGAAAGAGAGUUAAACAGUACGUGAAAUUGUUGAAAGGGAAGGGCAUGCAAUCAGACUUGCGCCUAGUUGAUCACCCGGGCUUCUGCCCGGUGCACUCGAUUAGGCUCAGGCCAGCAUCAGUUUAGAGGGUUGGAUAAAGGCCUUGGGAAUGUGGCCCCUCUCGGGGGGUGUUAUAGCCCAAGGUGCAAUGCAGCCUCUCUGGACUGAGGACCGCGCUUCGGCUAGGAUGCUGGCGUAAUGGUUGUAUGCCGCCCGUCUUGAAACACGGACCAAGGAGUCUAACAUCUAUGCGAGUAUUUGGGUGUCAAACCCAUAUGCGUAAUGAAAGUGAACGGAGGUGAGAGCCCUCAAGGGUGCAUCAUCGACCGAUCCUGAUGUCUUCGGAUGGAUUUGAGUAAGAGCAUAGCUGUUGGGACCCGAAAGAUGGUGAACUAUGCGUGAAUAGGGUGAAGCCAGAGGAAACUCUGGUGGAGGCUCGCAGCGGUUCUGACGUGCAAAUCGAUCGUCAAAUUUGCGUAUAGGGGCGAAA
rnacentral:rRNA from 1 species